rnacentral:rRNA from 1 species
CCCUGCCUUUUGUACACACCGCCCGUCGCUCUUACCGAUGGACUACUCUGUGAGUUUGAGGGACUGGACCAAAUCGAUUUAUCGAUAAGGUCUAUGGAAACUUAAACGAACAGUCUGGUCUAAAGGAA